rnacentral:antisense_RNA from 1 species
CGUUAUGAUGGACUGUAUAGGGCAGCCGAAAGGCUGGCCAGUGCCUUCUAGCUGGUAGACCAACCCUGUACAGUCCGUCACCACU